UCCCUGGAGGACCAGUGGAUUAGGCCACAGCGCACUCGCUGCUGUGGCCCAGGUUCAAUUCCCGGCUAGGGAG
rnacentral:tRNA from 1 species